UACGGAGGGUGCAAGCGUUAUCCGGAUUCACUGGGUUUAAAGGGUGCGUAGGAGGGCAGGUAAGUCAGUGGUGAAAUCUCCAAGCUUAACUUGGAAACUGCCGUUGAUACUAUCUGUCUUGAAUAUUGUGGAGGUAAGCGGAAUAUGUCAUGUAGCGGUGAAAUGCUUAGAUAUGACAUAGAACACCUAUUGCGAAGGCAGCUUACUACGCAUAUAUUGACGCUGAGGCACGAAAGCGUGGGGAUCAAACAGG
rnacentral:rRNA from 1 species